AUUGAACGCUGGCGGCAGGCCUAACACAUGCAAGUCGAACGGUAACAGAGAUCAGCUUGCUGAUUCGCUGACGAGUGGCGGACGGGUGAGUAAUGUCUGGGAAACUGCCUGAUGGAGGGGGAUAACUACUGGAAACGGUAGCUAAUACCGCAUAACGUCGCAAGACCAAAGAGGGGGACCUUCGGGCCUCUUGCCAUCGGAUGUGCCCAGAUGGGAUUAGCUAGUAGGUGGGGUAACGGCUCACCUAGGCGACGAUCCCUAGCUGGUCUGAGAGGAUGACCAGCCACACUGGAACUGAGACACGGUCCAGACUCCUACGGGAGGCAGCAGUGGGGAAUAUUGCACAAUGGGCGCAAGCCUGAUGCAGCCAUGCCGCGUGUAUGAAGAAGGCCCUCGGGUUGUAAAGUACUUUCAGCGGGGAGGAAGGGAGUAAAGUUAAUACCUUUGCUCAUUGACGUUACCCGCAGAAGAAGCACCGGCUAACUCCGUG
rnacentral:rRNA from 1 species